UCGAGGAUCUUCGGCAAUGUGCGCAAGCAUGACCGAGCGACGCCGCGUGUGGGAUGAAGGCCUUCGGGUUGUAAACCACUGUCGUGGGGGAGAAAAGCCCCGCAAGGGGUCUGAUCUAUCCCAGGAGGAAGCACGGGCUAAGUUCGUGCCAGCAGCCGCGGUAAGACGAACCGUGCAAACGUUGUUCGGAAUCACUGGGCUUAAAGGGCGCGUAGGCUGUUCGCUAAGUCGUGGGUGAAAUCUUUCGGCUCAACCGGAAAAUUGCCUGCGAUACUGGCGAGCUCGAGGGUGGUAGGGGCGAUCGGAACUGCCAGUGGAGCGGUGAAAUGCGUUGAUAUUGGCAGGAACGCCGGUGGCGAAAGCGGAUCGCUGGAUCACUCCUGACGCUGAGGCGCGAAAGCUAGGGGGAGCAAACGGGAUUAGAUACCCCCGGUAGUCCUAGCCUUAAACGAUGGGUACUAGGGUUGCGGGUGUGACACGCAUUCGCAGCCGAAGCAAAAG
rnacentral:rRNA from 1 species